CGCGGGGCAGCGGGGGAUGUAGCAAUACAUUCUGCCGGCGACCCGUGCAAGGGUGCGUAACGCGUGAGCAACAUGCCCGUCUCACGGGGAUAACCGGUGGAAACGCCGCCUAAUACCCCAUGGCGAUAUAUUGAGGCAUCUUGAUAUAUCUAAAGCUCCGGCGGAGACGGAUUGGCUCGCGUGACAUUAGCUGGACGGCGGGGUAACGGCCCACCGUGGCUACGAUGUCUAGGGGUUCUGAGAGGAAGGUCCCCCACACUGGAACUGAGACACGGUCCAGACUCCUACGGGAGGCAGCAGUGAGGAAUAUUGGUCAAUGGGCGGGAGCCUGAACCAGCCAUGCCGCGUGAAGGCGAGUGCCCUACGGGCGUUAAACUUCUUUUGUGCGGGAGCAAUAAGGGCCACGCGUGGCCCGAUGAGAGUACCGCACGAAUAAGCAUCGGCUAACUCCGUGCCAGCAGCCGCGGUAAUACGGGGGAUGCGAGCGUUAUCCGGAUUUAUUGGGUUUAAAGGGUGCGUAGGCGGCGCUUCAGGUCAGCGGUGAAAUACCGGGGCUCAACCCCGGGGCUGCCGUUGAAACCGGAGCGCUAGAAUUC
rnacentral:rRNA from 1 species